GGGGCCAUAGCUCAGCUGGGAGAGCGCCUGCUUUGCAAGCAGGAGGUCAUCGGUUCGAUCCCGAUUGGCUCCACCA
rnacentral:tRNA from 3 species